ACAGCGAUUAUCUGAAGAGCUUCAGAAACUAUCAGCAGAUCAGGCUCAGAUAAGAAAGGAUGUGAGCAAGAUUAAGCGUUUAAUAAAGGCGAUCUUCGAUAAAUUGGGUUGUUGUAGCUCAGAUCUUCCUCCGCAUGGUGACGACUCAGAUUGAGUGGUGCGGGGUUCUUCUUUUUGUCGUUUUGGCGUUUUCUUGACAAAAAGGGGGAGAUGAUGAUGAUGCAUUUUGAUGCUUUUUAGAUGAUGUAUUUAGAUGAUGAUGAUGGUGAUGUAUUUAGAUGAUGAUGAUGGCUUUGUUGCUUAUUUUGGUUUGUUGCUUAUUUAGGUGUUGAUGUUUUUCUAACGUUUUUUUUUAAACAACUCUUGACUAUAUGACUGUUUGAUCUUUAAUGAAAAUUCUUGGAUCUUGACUGUGUUUGGAGAAUGUUUUUUUGCAGGAACUUUCAAGACUUUAAGACUCCAUGUCUAAGUCAUAGAGUUUGUAUUAGGAUUGUGAGAAAAUUGUAAUUUGUCUUUUAUUGGAUCAAUCAUGCAGGAGAUAGUCAUUUAGUGAUUAUGAUGAUCUUCUUUUUAGUGUUUCUGAGUUGUGUUUGAGCGUUGUAUUAUGUUUUGUCAGGAAAUCGCCAAAGGGGAAGAUUGUUAAGGAUUUUCUAGGUUGGCGGAUUUCGUGAAGUCGAAUGGAGUCUUGAAGAGUUGAUCACGAAAAUUUGAAGAGA
rnacentral:lncRNA from 1 species